AUUGAACGCUGGCGGCAUGCUUUACACAUGCAAGUCGAACGGCAGCGCGGGCUUCGGCCUGGCGGCGAGUGGCGAACGGGUGAGUAAUACAUCGGAACGUGCCCAGUAGUGGGGGAUAGCUCGGCGAAAGCCGGAUUAAUACCGCAUACGACCUGAGGGUGAAAGCGGGGGAUCUUCGGACCUCGCGCUAUUGGGGCGGCCGAUGGCAGAUUAGCUAGUUGGUGGGGUAAAGGCCUACCAAGGCGACGAUCUGUAGCUGGUCUGAGAGGACGACCAGCCACACUGGGACUGAGACACGGCCCAGACUCCUACGGGAGGCAGCAGUGGGGAAUUUUGGACAAAGGGCGAAAGCCUGAUCCAGCAAUGCCGCGUGUGUGAUGAAGGCCUUCGGGUUGUAAAGCACUUUUGGCGGGAACGAAAAGGACUGUGCCAAUACCACGGUUCGAUGACGGUACCCGCAGAAUAAGCACCGGCUAACUACGUG
rnacentral:rRNA from 1 species